CAGCCCUCGACACAAGCUUUUGU
rnacentral:piRNA from 1 species